UACGAAGGUGGCAAGCGUUACUCGGAAUUACUAGGCGUAAAGGGCAGGUAGGUGGUUUGGUAAGUCUAUUGUGAAAGCUCCCGGCUUAACUGGGAGAGGUCAAUGGAUACUGCCGGACUUGAGUAUAGGAGAGGUUACUGGAAUUCCCGGUGUAGCGGUGAAAUGCGCAGAGAUCGGGAGGAACACCAAUGGCGAAAGCAGGUAACUGGACUAUUACUGACACUCAGCUGCGAAAGCUAGGGGGGCAAACAGG
rnacentral:rRNA from 1 species